UUGGAUACACAUACAUGCAUUUUAAUAUUAAAGUACCGUCGGAAAUACCAUGUUAAAUUAAUCUCCUCCUCCUCUCUGUCCAGGGAAACUCCCUCUAUCUGACAUCAUGACGCCUAUAAAAAUUCUUGUGCCCAGCAAUGUACCUGGAAACAAUUACAAAAACACUUAGUAGUACACUUCCAUUGUAUGACAGAAGUACGUGGCUCAGCAUUAACGAUGCAAAGCCGCAACCCCAAACCUCAGUUUGCGGACUGGCUGAUAGAACAGGUGUGGACCGGGCAAUACGCCGGGUUGUAUUUUGUGGGCAACAACAAGUUCAGAGUCCCGUGGAAACACAUCUCUAGGAAGGACUGCUGCGAGGACGACAGUAAAAUAUUCAGGGCAUGGGCAGUGGUCAGUGGUAAAAUCAACACGCAUCCCAAUGACAAGGCAAAGUGGAAGACUAACUUCCGCUGUGUACUGAACAACCUGACCAAGCGUUUCAUGAUGGUGGAAGACCACUCCAAGGACUCAGACGACCCCCAUAAAGUCUACCUGAUUAUCAACAAUGAGUCUAACUAUGGGAGCCCACACAUAGAGGAAAUUGCUGUGGAGGACUAUGACAUUGACAUCCACAGCUCUCUCACCUCUACAGGCUACACCCCCCCAGGCAUGGAGCAUGAUAAUCUACUCAAGCUUGUGAACACCUUAGACCUGAACCAACAUACUGAGGAGUGGGCAGAGAACUAUAUACACACACACCACCCAGUGGUACCAGAAGACUGCUACCCCUUCCAGCCUCUAACAGAGCCCCAGCCAGUCUCCCAGAACCACUCACCACCACCAGUCCCAGUACCAAUACAGCAGCCAUACGACCACGUUAACCAGGAUGCCCUGCUCAACCUGCCUGCUGCCCAGCCGUCUCUCUGUGACCUGGAGAUCACCAUCUCCUACAGGAGGAGAGAGAUGCUGAAGACCCAGGUGUCAGGCCCCCUGGUUCAGCUCCACUACCAGUGUGAUAUCCCUGAGCCCAACGCCCAGACCCUCUGCUUCCCUAGCACUGACGGCCUGCUAGACCACAAACAGAUUGAAUACACCAACCGCAUCCUAGGGAGCGUCCAAAGGGGUCUUCUCCUGGAGGUACGAAACAUGGGUAUCUAUGGUUACCGGCAGGACAAAUGCCAUGUGUUCUCCAGUACUAGUGACCCCAGAGAGGCACACCCUGAACCCAGGAAGAUGCCCCAAAAUGAAAUGGUACAACUGUUGAGCUUCGACAAGUACAUGACUGAUCUGAUAGCAUUUAAGGAGAACAGAGGAGGCUCUCCUGACUAUACCAUCCACAUGUGCUUUGGAGAGAAGUUCCCAGACGGAAAACCCCUGGAGAAGAAACUCAUCAUUGUCAAGGUGGUUCCCUUGAUCUGUCGUCACUUCCACGAGGUGGCCCAGGGGAGGGGGCGUCUUCCCUCCAGAACGACAACAUCAGCCUGCAGAUCUCCCACCACAACAGCCUGAUGGAGCUUAUCAGUGCCACCUGGCCCGACGGCCCAGAGCACACCAUGGGGCAAUACUUCUAGACCACCAAUCGUACCACAUCUCCACCCACCAACCCACCCAGCCUAUCUAGGACUAGUACUAAAUAGACCUCUGGGUCUGUCCCAAUCACGCACUUUGGGCCUAUCCCAAAUUGGUCCUAUGGUUGUGUCCCUAACCCUGGUUGUGUUACUUUACUCUACUUCUAGACCAAGACUGGUAUCUAAUAGACCUCAGCUAGGUCUUGUUUAUUUAACUGGUCCAUUACUCUACUGAUUAGCUAUAUCACUAAUUUAAUAUUCCCUCAGGAAAAACAUUUUUACAAAAAGUAUAUAUGACGCAAUUAUUUGUAAAUUAUCUGAUCUGUAAUUAUAUGUACAAUUCAAAUGUGUAGAUAUUUGAAAGUGUUGGUCAAUUUCUUCAACAAAUGAUCAGGUCUAUAUAAUUAUCAAACAUACAUUAGUAAUGGAACGGAAACAGACUCUUUGUUUAAGUAUUAAAAAAAUACUCCUUUAGUAAUACAAUUUGUAGGCAGAAGUUGGUACAGAGUACAGUAUAACAGUAUAUGAUAGUUUCUCCCCAAGUUCUGCAAAAUGUCUAAGACAUGCUGUAACUCAUAUAGCCUCCCCAAUCCCCCUUACGUAACUUUCCCUAGCAACAACAUUUUAAUAAAUCUAACCUCCCCCUGACAGCAGGAACCAUCUUAUCAGCAAGUAAAAACUCAGAAGUGGAUUUGACCGAAACUUGACCUUUCAUCACAAGUAUAGGGUCAUGACAAGGUGAACGAGUAAGCAUCUUCUGACAGGUGGCUGGUUUCAUCAGGUCUGUGGCAGCUUUGUGUUUUCAGAAAACCAGAUAACCACGGUGGGAUCCAGACAGGAGGAGUCUGAAUGUAGAUGCCUUCUGAUAAUGUCUGAAGGUCACAACACUCAAAACAGGUUUUAACACACACACAGAGGUCUCCUGAAGAGGAGACCUUACAGUUUAUCAUAACAUAAUUUAUUAACCCUUUAAAAGGUAUAAGGCCUUGGCUUAACCCUCUUUAAAAGUCAGACAAAUGUUGAUAGUGUUACAUUAUUCUGAUGAUGAAUCUAUGUAUCAUAUUGCUAUCAGUGUGUAAUGCACUAGGCGAGGCCAUUCUUCUCUUGUUAGGUUAACAGAGAAUAUGACAUUGUUUUACAACUGUUUGUGGGAUAGGUAUUUAAUAAGUGAACAUCAAAUCAGCCUGUCAGUAUUGAGUGUCUCAUUUAGUGGUCUGUUCUCUUCUACUGAAGAAUUCCCAGCUUCUGUCCCUGUGGGCCACACUUUAAACCUGUCUUGGUCGCUCAAUCCUUCAGUCUGUUUUCUCUUAUUAUUUUUUCUUGAAAAAUGUAUUUUAUUGUAUUGAAACUCAGCAAACAACUAUUUUAUUGUCAUUGAACAGCACAUUGUAUAGUAUGCAAAAUAGGACCAAUAAACUCUUUAUUAGGUAAA